AACGAACGCUGGCGGCAGGCUUAACACAUGCAAGUCGAGCGCCCCGCAAGGGGAGCGGCAGACGGGUGAGUAACGCGUGGGAAUCUACCCAUCUCUACGGAAUAACGCAUGGAAACGUGUGCUAAUACCGUAUACGUCCUUCGGGCGAAAGAUUUAGCGGAGAUGGAUGAGCACGCGUUGGAUUAGGUAGUUGGUGGGGUAAAGGCCUACCACGGCGACGUUGCAUGGCGGGUCUGAGAGGAUGAUCAGCCACACUGGGACUGAGACACGGCCCAGACUUCUGCGGGAGGCAGCAGUGGGGAUUAUUGGACAUUGGUCGCAAGCCUGUUCCAGCCAUGCCGCGUGAGUGAUGAAGGCCCGAGGGUUGUAAAGCUCUUUCACCGGUGAAGAUAAUGACGGUAACCGGAGAAGGAUCCCCGGCUAACUGCGUGCCAGCCGCCGCGGUAAUAC
rnacentral:rRNA from 1 species